rnacentral:rRNA from 1 species
GACGAACGCUGGCGGCGUGCUUAACACAUGCAAGUCGAACGGUGAAGCGCCUUCCUUUUUGGUGGGUGUGGAUGAGUGGCGAACGGGUGAGUAACACGUGAGUAACCUGCCCCCUUCUUCUGGAUAACCGCAUGAAAGUGUGGCUAAUACGGGAUAUUCUGGGUCUGUCGCAUGAUGGGUCUGGGAAAGAUAUUGUUUCGGUGGGGGAUGGGCUCGCGGCCUAUCAGCUUGUUGGUGGGGUGAUGGCCUACCAAGGCGGUGACGGGUAGCCGGCCUGAGAGGGUGGCCGGUCACACUGGGACUGAGACACGACCCAGACUCCUACGGGAGGCAGCAGUGGGGAAUAUUGCACAAUGGGCGCAAGACUGAUGCAGCGACGCCGCGUGAGGGAUGGAGGCCUUCGGGUUGUGAACCUCUUUCGCCAGUGAAGCAGGCCUGCCUCGUUUGUGGGUGGGUUGACGGUAGCUGGAUAAGAAGCGCCGGCUAACUACGU